rnacentral:sRNA from 1 species
GCCAGGCAUGGUAGUGUAUCCCUGUAAUCCCAGAAGCUUGGGAGGCUGAGGCAGGAAGAUCACAAGUUGGAAACCAUCUUUAGCAAUGGCAAUGUGCUAAGCAACUCAGUAAGAUCCUGUCUCUA